rnacentral:rRNA from 1 species
AGUUGCUCAAAGCAUGUAUUAGAUCAAUGCCAACUAGGAGGGUGUGGUUAACAGCCGCGCCCUGCUAAGGUGAAUCUAGAUAACUUUGCUGAUCGUAUGGCCUUGAGCCGGCGACGUUUCAAUUGAAUUUCUGCCCUAUCAACUUGUUGGUAAGGUAUUGGCUUACCAAGGUUACAACGGGUAACGGGGAAUCAGGGUUCGAUUCCGGAGAGGGAGCCUGAGAAAUGGCUACCACAUCCAAGGGAGGCAGCAGGCGCGCAAAUUACCCAAUCCAGAUUAUGGGAGGUGGUGACGAGAAAUACUAGAUGGCUUCCUUAUUGGAUGCUAUACUGGAAUGGACGUAAUUUAAGAAAUUCGAUGAGUAACAACUGGAGGGCAAGUCUGGUGCCAGCAGCCGCGGUAAUUCCAGCUCCAGUAGCGUAUGCUAACGUUGUUGCGUUUAAAACGCUCGUAGUCGGAUUACGCAGCGUGAAUUGGUCGAUUGGCAUAGUGGCACAUGAAAUCUGCUCGGCUUUGAUCUGGCUAUGGUCUAACCUGGCAAGCUUUGAGGUCGGGUGGAGUGCUACGUGUCGAUUAACAGCCAGCUCACGCUACUUUUACGUAAGAACGGAAGUUGACCUUGAGUGAGUUGACUUUCGUGUCUCACGAAGUGUGCCUUGAAUAAAUCAGAGUGCUUAAAGCAGGCUUUGCUUGUAUGAAAUAGCAUGGAACGAACAAUUGUGAUUUUUGCGUCCACUAAUGUGCCUUGCAUGGAUCUAUAUCUGUGUGAGUGCGUGUUUUUGGAUGUAGCACCAACCACCAAUGACGGAUGUUGGUUUCCGUGUUGGGGUGAUGAUUAAGAGGAGCGGUUAGGGGCAUUGGUAUUUUGCCGCGAGAGGUGAAAUUCUUGGACCGGCAAAGGACUAACAAAUGCGAAGGCAUCUGUCAGGACCGUUUCCAUUGAUCAAGAACGAAAGUGAGAGGUUCGAAGACGAUCAGAUACCGUCCUAGUUCUCACUGUAAACCAUGCCGACCCGGGAUCAGUUUUGAGCUCUAUAACGCUCGUGGUUGGUCCCCCUGGGAAACCUCAAGUUUUUAGGUUACGGGGGGAGUAUGGUCACAAGGCUGAAACUUAAAGGAAUUGACGGAAGGGCACCACCAGGGGUGGAGCCUGCGGCUUAAUUUGACUCAACACGGGAAAACUCACCUGGUCCGGACAUCGAAAGGAUAGACAGACUGAUAGAUCUUUCUUGAUACGGUGGAUGGUGGUGCAUGGCCGUUCUUAGUUCGUGGAGUGAUCUGUCAGGUUUAUUCCGGUAACGGACGAGACCAUAAUCUUCAUUUAUGGAGUUGGAAAAGGCGGUGGUUGCUGUUGCUCAUGGCUAACCCUGUGAGUGAUGGCAGCUGCUGUUGUUGGUAGGGCAGAGUUGGCGCUGCUUGGACUCUCAUGACUUCCUAAGACGUCUGUUGAAGGAGGAAAUGGCAGAAAGGGCAAUGUUCGGUUCUGUUCUCCCUCCAGCAUAAUAUUGUGGGUUGAAAGACCUACAAUAUUCUAUGAAGAGACAACCAAAUAUAAUUA